CCUAAUACAAUGGCAUCUUCUGAUCUAAGAACACCUUCUCUUCUCUAACAAGAAAUAACAGGACAAAUAGAGAAUAAAAACAGCAGGCAAAUAAAUAAGGGCCAUCUCAUAGAUGAGCUGAUAACUGGAUAAAAUACAAGUAAAAUGUUAACUAUAGAUAUAGGUGGUGAGUAUAAGAAUUCACUGGAUAACUACUGGAACUUUUUUGCAUGUUUGAAAAUUUUCAUAAUGUCAGAAGCAUCGCAACAAAUUCAACCAUAGGCACCAAAGCAAGUCACAUUUCUCAUUAAAUGUUUCAUAAAGAGUCAGAUACUCUCCAGGCCAUUUGUUACAACUCCCUAUAUAAAUGCAAUUCUUCAUUCUCAAGACCUUAUUUGUGUUGUUUCCCCACUGGACUCUUCCCAAAUGCAAACCAGGCCCAGUUCAGGUUCUAACACCUUCUAUUUAAAAAAAGAAAAAGAAAAAUCCUUCUUCUCUCUGCUUAAGUGCCAUUGCAUUUCACUGUGUCGUACUAUCUAAAAUACAGAUCUGACAAUUUUUUAGGUGUUAUACUAGUUAGACUGGGUGUUGUUUUUAAUUAUAAGAAAUACUUUCUACGCCAGGCACAGUGGCUCAUGCCUGUAAUCCCAGCACUUUGGGAGGCUGAGGCGGGUGGAUCACUUGAGGUCAGGAGUUUGAGACCAGCCUGGCCAACAUGGUGAAACCCCAUCUCUACUACACAAAUAAACAAACAAACAAAAAACACACACAGAUUAGCUGGGCAUGGUGGCGCAUGCCUGUAGUCCCAGUUGCCUGGGAGGCUGAGGUUGCAGUGAGCCAAGAUUAGGCUAUUGGACUCCAGCCUAGGCAACAGAGUGAGAUCCUGUCUCAGAAACAAAAACAAAAGAACAAACAAACAUUAGCCAGGCAUGGUGGCAGGCACCUGUAAUGCCAGCUACUCAGGAGGCUGAGGCAGAAGAAUCACUUGAACCUGGGAGGUGGAGGUUGCAGUGAGCUGAGAUUGUGCCACUGCAUGCCAGCCUGGGCGACAGAGUAAUACUUUGUCUGAAAAAAUAAAAAUAAAAUAAAACAUAAAAAAGCUAUCUUUUAGAUACGUAUUAAGAUAUUAUACAUGAAGUGAUAUGAUAGCUGGAACGUGCUUUAAAAUAACUCAAGGGGUUGGGUACAAAUGAAACGAGACUGAUCAUAACUGUGAGAGCUAAGCCCAGAGUACAUGACCUAGUUGUUCUAUUUCUAUGUUUUUUGUUAGAAAACAAAUUGAAAAUACAACCCUGGGAAGAAAUUAUGUAGUCAAGUAACUAUACUAUCAAAAUGAAUUAGACAUUUGAAGCAAUUAUCUAUAAAACUGUAGUAAAAAUUGCCCUGAAUCAAGUGAUUCAGCCAAAGGAAAGUCUGUUGAUUAUAUUGCACUCCCCCCCCCGCUUCUUUUUUUUCAAACAAUCAGCUUUCUAUUGCUACUUUUACUGUAGGCCUGACUCUCAAUACAGAAACUUCAAAAUGGGCGCCUAUUCAAUCAGAAUUUGAAAUUUCUAUUUUAUCCUGCCUCGUGAAUUAAUGAGCACAAGUUCUUUAUAGGAUUCCAGCUAAUAGAUGCAGAAGGAAUGACAAGAUAUCACUGGUUGGCAACCUCUAAUGGAAUCCCAGAUGUGGGCAAAUAUCAUUAAUGAUGGCUAAAUCCAUCAGGGGAAAAGCUGAUAGAGAACUUUUGUAAUGAAUGGAGUGGGCUGGCAGCAUCCAAACCCACUAUCAAUCUUAAUGUUACAAGAUGAGAGCCAUUAUGUGCCAUGAUGUGAUACAACAUGGAGCAUAUAUCACCUAUGAAUUAUUUUUGUGAAAAAGCAAAACAGAACAACAGAAGCCCUCUAGAUCUGUCAGUUUAUAGAACAUAUAGGGGACAGAAAAGGUGUACAUGAUCCCAUUAGGAUACAUUCAGUAAAAUCCACUGAAGGACAAUUCUAUAGGACAAACAACUUAGUUUCUUCAAAAAUUAAAAACAGGAAAGUUAAAUCUAUAGAUUAUAUUAACAAAAUGCAAGAUCUAGAUCUUGCCUGGAUCUUGACUCGAAUAAACCAACUGUUAAAAAAAACUUACGAGACAAUCAGGAAGUUUGAAUAUUGACUGGUACUUGGCAUCAAAAAAUGUUUUAGCAGUCUUACACAAUGGUAUUGUGGUUAUGUUCAAAAAAGUACCCUAUCUUUGGAGUUAUAUUUGAAUGUCUCUGAUCACACAGACAUGAAAAUGAAAAGGUACUUUUAUCAAACUUCGAGUCUAAGAACAUACAAAUGUUUCUUUUAUCAUGUCUACAGUAAUUGUCUAUGCUUUUCCAUUUAACUGUUGUUAAAAAUUCCACAUAUCCCCAUUAUUUCUUCUGUCCCAGUUACAGUACAAUGACGGGGAGGAAGAGGGUUGGUUAAAGCAUCCCUCUAAGCAGUUUUCUGCUGUCCCUUCUUUCCAAUCAGAGAUUUGUGGAUGUGAGGGAUCACACCUAGAAUGAAAUUUAAAAAAGUUAUUAAAAACUUUUAAAGUUUUUGCCUCAAGUAAAAAGUUAAUUAUAGAAAAAAUGAAAUUUACUUAAGUCCCUUUUCAUAUUCUGAUACUGUUAAACUAUCUAUACCAAUGGCUACACCCCAGGGGUCUGUGAACCCUUUAAAACUGUAUGUAAAAUUGUGUGACUUUCCGUGCAUUUUUUGAGAAGAGUAACCAUAGCUUUUUUUUUUUUUUUUUUUUGAGAUGGCCUCACUUUGUCGCCAAUGCUGGGGUGCAGUGGUGUAAUCUUGGCUCACUGCGACCUCUGUCCUGGGUUCAAGUGAUUCUCCUACCUCAGCCUCCUGAGUAGC
rnacentral:lncRNA from 10 species